UUGCUUUGGCAGUACAUAUAUACUAAAAUUGGAAUGAAACAGAGAAGAUUAACAUGGCUCCUGUGCAACGAUGACACGCAAAUUCAUGAAGCAUUUCCAUAUUUU
rfam:Chelonia mydas contig187911, whole genome shotgun sequence.